GUAGGGAAUAUUGGGCAAUGGGUGCAAGCCUGACCCAGCCAUCCCGCGUGCCGGAUGAAGGCCCUCUGGGUCGUAAACGGCUUUUGACGGUGAAGAAUCGACAGGAUGCGUCCUGUUUUGACGGUAGCCGUUGAAUAAGCACCGGCUAACUCCGUGCCAGCAGCCGCGGUAAUACGGAGGGUGCGAGCGUUGUCCGGAUUUAUUGGGUUUAAAGGGUGCGUAGGCUGGAAGGUCAGUCAGCGGUGAAAAGCUGUCGCUUAACGAUAGUCUUGCCGCAGAUACUUCCUUUCUUGGAUGAGGAGGAGGCCACUGGAACGGAUGGUGUAGCGGUGAAAUGCAUAGAUAUCAUCCAGAACACCGAUUGCGAAGGCAGGUGGCUGUACCUUAAUCGACGCUGAUGCACGAAAGCAUGGGGAGCAAACAGGAUUAGAUACCCUAGUAGUCC
rnacentral:rRNA from 1 species